GGACGUGUAGCUCAGCUGGUUAGAGCGUUCGCUUCACACGCGAAAAGUCAGGGGUUCGAGUCCCUUCACGUCCACCA
rnacentral:tRNA from 1 species